UACGGGGGGGGCAAGCGUUGGUCGGAAUUACUGGGCGUAAAGGGUCUGUAGGUGGCCAACUAAGUCAGACGUGAAAUCCCUCAGCUUAACUGGGGAACUGCGUCUGAUACUGGUUGGCUUGAGUGCAGGAGAGGAAUGCGGAAUUCCAGGUGUAGCGGUGAAAUGCGUAGAUAUCUGGAGGAACACCGGUGGCGAAGGCGGCAUUCUGGACUGUGAUUGACGCUGAGGCGCGAAAGCGUGGGGAGCAAACAGG
rnacentral:rRNA from 1 species